rnacentral:lncRNA from 1 species
UGAGCUAUGAUUGCACCACUGCACUCCAGUCUGGGCGACAGAACCAGACCAUGUCUAAAAAGAAAAAACACUCAGUGAUAAUUUCACAUUACAGUUUGAGAGGUUCCUGUUGACUUGGGGAAACUAGUUUUAGCAGACUUCAUUAAAGGAGUGUACACCUUACUACAGGAUGUAAUUUAAAAUAGAAUGUUUAAAUAAUAAAUUCACUUCUGGGUAUAUACUCAAAGCAGGAAUUCAAACAGGUAUUUGUACACCAAAGUUCGUAACAGCAUUAUUCACAGUAGCCAAAAUGUGGAAACAACCCAAAUGUCCAUUAAAGGAUGAAUAAACAAAAUGUGAUAUACAUACAAUGGAAUAUUCAGCCUUUAUUUUUCCAAUCAGAGUUUCAGGAAAAUCAACCUUUAAAAGGAGUGAAAUUCUGACAUUUGCUGCCACAUGGAUGAAUCUUGAUGAUGAUAUGCUGAGUGAUAUAUAAUCAGUCACGGAAGGACAAAUACUGCAUGAUUCAAUUUAUAUCAGGUAGUGCUUUGCUAAUGACUGACCGGUGUGGAUGUAUAAAAGUCCAGCUCCGUGAUCUCAGACUUCCGGCCUCCAGAACUCAGGCCCUGACAUUGUAUAAGCUUCAGGCCCCACAAAACCUGGAUCUGCCCUGCCAGGAUCAGCAUCUAGAGGAAAACUACUACUUCCACAAUAGCACAACCAAUCUGAUCAUCCCUGCAUCAGUGAGCAUUCUCCAGAGAAACAGAGCCAACAGGAUAUGUGUAUAUAUGUGAAGAAAGACUUAUUUUAAGGAGUUGGCUCAUGCAAUUAUGGAGGUGCAAGUCCAAAAUCUGUAGGGCAGGCAGAUGGGCAGACUGGAGACCCAGAGAAGAGUUGCAGUUCAAGUCCAAAGUCGGUUGGAAGAAUUCCCUCUUGCUGGGUAACACUGGGGAAGCAGGAGUAGAUGGAAAGGGGAGGUGUCAGGCUUUGCUCUACCAAGGACUUCAACUGAUUGGAUGAGGCCCAGUAACAUUAUGGAGGGAAACCUGCUUUGCUCAGAGUUUACUGAUUUAAAUAUUAAUCUCAUCCACAAAAAAAUAAAUAACCUUCACAGAAACAUUUAGAAUAUUUGACCAAAUAUCUAAGUCCCAUGGCUCAGACAACUUAACACAUAAAAUUAUCCAUCACAAUUCCAUUAUCCCAAUACAGGUCGGCAGGGCCUUGGGCAGGUGGUAACCUCAGCUCUGGAGUCUACAGCAAUACUCUCACACUUAACAGAUGUAGUUCUGUGGGUCCAGGUCCCACUUCGCAAGAGAGAAUCUGAUGGGCUAAUUUCGACCAAGUCUCCUUUCCUAGUUCAAUCACGUGUAAGGGUUAGAGAAAGGGUUGGGCUCACAAGGGACUUAGGGCUGCCUCUCUGGACUUGGGAGAGCAGGACUUCUCAAGAGAUAAAUGGUUAGAGAGUAAUAUAAUUUGGAUAUUUGUCCCCUAUAAAUCUCAUGUUGAAAUUUGAUGUUCAAUGUUGAGGGCAGGUCUGGGACCUCCCUCCCUGCUUUUGCUCCCCCUCUCGCCAUAUGGCACAACUGCUCCCUUCACCUUCUGCUAUGAAUGGAAGCUUCCUGAGGCCUUCACCAAAAGCGGAGGCUGGUACCAUGCUUCACGCACAGCCUGCAGAAUCAUGAGCCAAAUAAACUACUUUUCUUUAUAAAUCAUCCAGUUUCAGGUAUUCGCUUAUAGCAACACAAAAUGGACUAAUACAGAGAGGAAAUAUUUUGAGCACAUUGAAGGCCCCAAAAUAUUGAGCUUUUUUUUUUUAACCUAUAUAGUACUUUUCUUGCAUCUCAGUUUGCUUAUCUAUAGAAUGAGGAUUAAUAAGACCUACCAACUUCAGGGGGUCAUUCUGGUGAGAUAAGUGAAAAAAUUUGUAAAGAAGUGUAUAAAUUUACCAUUGUUUUUUAAAACUAAAAUGAUCUCUAACACUAAGUUGAUGAUCUGAUCACAAAGAUGGGGUAGAUGAAAUGAAGAGAAAAGGUUUCUGACAUUUGUAUACUUAGAAAUGUAUCCAGGCUGGGCAUGGUGGUCCAUACCUGUAAUCCCAGCACUUUGAGAGGCCAACGCAGGAGGGUCACUU